UACGUAGGGUGCGAGCGUUAAUCGGAAUUACUGGGCGUAAAGCGUGCGCAGGCGGUUUGCUAAGACCGAUGUGAAAUCCCCGGGCUUAACCUGGGAACUGCAUUGGUGACUGGCAGGCUAGAGUAUGGCAGAGGGGGGGUAGAAUUCCACGUGUAGCAGUGAAAUGCGUAGAGAUGUGGAGGAAUACCGAUGGCGAAGGCAGCCCCCCUGGGCCAGUACUGACGCUCAUGCACGAAAGCGUGGGGAGCAAACAGG
rnacentral:rRNA from 1 species